AUCCAGGAAUCCGAGGGAAGAGCGUGGGGACUAGUGAUGCUGAGGGAGUGGCUGGAGGAAGUGUCAGCCGCUGUGUGCCGGAUACCGAUUUGACAAGAUCAAAGCUGCAGGAAAAUGGACAGUGAGGUUCAGAGAGAUGGAAGGAUCUUAGAUUUGAUUGAUGAUGCUUGGCGAGAAGACAAGCUGCUUUAUGAGGAUGUCGCAAUACCACUGAAUGAGCUUCCUGAACCUGAACAAGACAAUGGUGGCACGACAGAAUCUGUCAAAGAACAAGAAAUGAAGUGGACAGACUUAGCUUUAUAGUAUCUCCAUGAGAACGUGCCCCCCAUUGGAAACUGACACUUGGCUCCUUUCUUGCUGACGAAUUUUCUAAAAGUACACAGAUAAAAAAUGUUUUGUUUCAGUCUCCUACUUCAAAUAUUUGAGUAAUAAAUCAGCACUCAAAAA